UACGUAGGGGGCUAGCGUUGUUCGGAAUCACUGGGCGUAAAGGGCGCGUAGGCGGCUUUAUAAGUCGGGGGUGAAAGCCUGUGGCUCAACCACAGAAUUGCCUUCGAUACUGUAGAGCUUGAGACCGGAAGAGGUAAGUGGAACUGCGAGUGUAGAGGUGAAAUUCGUAGAUAUUCGCAAGAACACCAGUGGCGAAGGCGGCUUACUGGUCCGGUUCUGACGCUGAGGCGCGAAAGCUAGGGGAGCAAACGGG
rnacentral:rRNA from 1 species